GACGAACGCUGGCGGCGUGCUUAACACAUGCAAGUCGAACGGAAAGGCCCUGCUUUUGUGGGGUGCUCGAGUGGCGAACGGGUGAGUAACACGUGAGUAACCUGCCCUUGUCUUUGGGAUAACUUCAGGAAACUGGGGCUAAUACCGGAUAGGAGCUCCUGCUGCGUGGUGGGGGUUGGAAAGUUUCGGCGGUUGGGGCUGUACUCGCGGCUUAUCAGCUUGUUGGUGGGGUAGUGGCUUACCCAGGCUUUCACGGGUAGCCGGCCUGAGAGGGUGACCGGCCACAUUGGGACUGAGGGACGGCCCAGACUCCUACGGGAGCCAGCAGGGGGGAAUAUUGCAGAAGGGGCGGAAGCCGGAUGCAGCAACGCCGCGUGCGGGAUGACGGCCUUCGGGUUGUAAACCGCUUGCGCCUGUGACGAAGCGUGAGUGACGGUAAUGGGUAAAGAAGCACCGGCUAACUACGUG
rnacentral:rRNA from 1 species